GAGGAAGGGGAUUCUGAAGGACGAAGUGGACCCUUCGGGCCAAGGUCCUGAUAAGGAAGACUAAGUUCAACUUUUCAUAUGAAAAACAAAGAAAGGGUUUUCCUUCUACAUGGUACAUAAUUUGGCUUCAUUUGAGGACAUGUAUUGAUACCAUCCCAGUCAGAGAGAUGCUGCCAAUGAAUUGUUCAUCAGUCUCUUUUGUAUGUUUUGCUUUAUGAUGCCAUAUCUGUAAGUUGCUAAUGCUACCUGCUGGCACUUAAGAGACCAUUUCAAAAUAUGUAUGUGAGAUUAAGCUUUUGUGCA